AUUAAAGGACUCAAACUAAACAAAAGAUAAGAAAUGCUCCUUCAAACUGGUGCUCUGUGUGAUGACCCUGGCUGAGAUGGAUCUGUCUGUGAAGUCCUCUUUCUCCCAGUCAAACUUUGCAGUAUCUUACAAUGACACUUUGAUAUUUAGGAAGAAGCUUAUGGAACGUAUUCCUACCUCUUGGGGAUUACACCUAAAAUGAUUUUUCCGAUGCCUUUCUACAGUUGUUAGUAAACUCGAUAAUUGAACUCUUAAUAACUCUAUUUUCCC
rnacentral:lncRNA from 1 species